CGCAGGUUGGAAAGAGGAAGUUCCCUGACAGCGUGUGGGGUUUGUGGCGUGCUGGCGGGGUGCAGACUGCAGAGAUGGAGAGGAACAUACAAGCUCUCACUCUCCUGUCCUGUUUCCACAACGCGUAUGCUGGACAGGGCGGCGUGACAUCACUUCCGGCGGGACCGGGAGGACGCGACCGGAAACCGGGCGACGCGGUUGGAGGCGGCGGAUGGGACCGAAUUCACAAAGUUAUUUAAGCACUAUUUGUUAUUGUACACACUUAUCCUGAUGAAGGGGCUGCGUCCCCGAAACGUAGACACAGCAAUAAACAGCUUUAAAAGUC